rnacentral:rRNA from 1 species
ACUCAAUAGAUACCCAGGUAGUCCACGCCCUAAACGAUGCAUACUUGGUGUGGGCAGUUCAGUCUGUCCGUGCCGAAAGCUAACGCGAUAAGUAUGCCGCCUGGGGAGUACGGUCGCAAGGCUGAAACUCGAAAGGAAUUGACGGGGGCCCGCACAAGCGGUGGAGCAUGUGGUUUAAUUCGACGCAACGCGAAGAACCUUACCUGGGCUCGAACGGCUUUGGACCGGCUCUGGAAACAGAGCUUUUCCCGCAAGGGACUGAAGUCGAGGUGCUGCAUGGCUGUCGUCAGCUCGUGUCGUGAGAUGUUGGGUUAAAGUCCCGCAACGAGCGCAACCCCUGUCCUGUGUUGCAACCCGAAAGGGGCACUCUCAGGAGACCGCCAGCGACAAGCUGGAGGAAGGUGGGGAUGACGUCAAGUCAUCAUGGCCUUUAUGUCCAGGGCUACACACGUGCUACAAUGGGCGGUACAAACCGCAGCAAACCCGCGAGGGGAGCAAAUCGGAAAAACCGUUACUCAGUUCGGAUUGCAGG